rnacentral:lncRNA from 1 species
AGAUUUGCUGUCUGGAGAGAUAUAUGAAAUUUAAAGAUGGCAAUCCAUUCCCUUCCCAUCAUGCUUCUUUUUCUACAGUUCAUAGUUGGUUAGAAACAAACAACAACAACAACAACAACAAACAAAAACAACAACAACAAAAAAAACAGAGAGCCCAAAGAGAAGAAAUAAAGAUGCUGUCAGAGAUGGAACAUAGUGGCAGUAAAAGAAAGGACAACCAGUAGACAGGAAAGAAAAAAAACUCCAAGACCCGGAGUUUCUGUCCAUGUCCAAUGCAUUCAAGAUUCUUCUGCAAAUCUGAACAGUCAAAGCCUGAAGUACAUGGAGGAAAGAAGAAAUCCAUUUGAAUGGAAGAAGCAUUCCAAGUGACAGAAUGUAUCAGAACAUUUAAAGACGAAAGAAGGACAUCAUUUUGAAUCAUGAGGCCUACUGGAAAAAUAAACAACAAAAAACAAGCAAGCAAAAUACAGUGGAGAGAGCUGAUAGAGCAGUAGAAAGUCUCCUGGAAUAUCCCCACAGGCUGCUGGUGUCUGUAAAUCACUGGAGGUUACCAGGGAAGAAAGGACCUGCAGCCUUGAACAAAGACGGAUUUAGAAAUAUGUUCAGCAAUACCAGUGAAUAGUACAGGAGAAUCUAGGAUAAAGGAAACAGACUGGAAAAUAAACCAUCCUAGAAAGAAAAGUUCAGAGAAUGAGAACCCCUGGACUGUCUCAAAAAAAAGAAAAAAGAAAAAAACAGAAACGCGACAUGCUCUAAAAAGGAAUAUUUAACCUGGAUUAAUUCAUAAAAUAAUAGGAGAAAAUUUUUGCAGCCAGAAUACUAUGAAUUUGAGUUGGUUGAAGAACAACCUCAUCUUUUAAAGCAGAGAAGUUUUCUCAGAUAUGUUUUCCAGAAUGCCAAAUCGUAAGUAAAUUGAUGAGAAAACUGUGGCUCAAAAGUUAUGUUACUUGUUAGACAUCACCAGACAUUUAAGUGGUAAGCACAAGAUGUGAACACAACUCUUCUCUAUUAAACCUAUUAGACCUGCACAGCCCAAUAUGACAGCCACUAACCACAAGUGGCUGCACACACUUGAUAUAUGACUAGUUUGA